CCAGCAGCCGCGGUAAUACGUAGGUGGCAAGCGUUGUCCGGAUUUAUUGGGCGUAAAGCGAGCGCAGGCGGUUUCUUAAGUCUGAUGUGAAAGCCCCCGGCCUUAUUGGGGAGGGUCAUUGGAAACUGGGAGACUUGAGUGCAGCUUAGGAGAGUGGAAUUCCAUGUGUAGCGGUGAAAUGCGUAGAUAUAUGGAGGAACACCAGUGGCGAAGGCGGCUCUCUGGUCUGUAACUGACGCUGAGGCUCGAAAGCGUGGGGAGCAAACAGGAUUAGAUUACCCUGGUA
rnacentral:rRNA from 1 species